rnacentral:rRNA from 1 species
UACAGAGGGUGCAAGCGUUGUUCGGAAUUAUUGGGCGUAAAGCGCGUGUAGGCGGCUUGGCAAGUCGGGCGUGAAAGCCCUCGGCUCAACCGAGGAAGUGCACCCGAAACUGCUGAGCUUGAGUGCCGGAGAGGAUGGCGGAAUUCCCCAAGUAGAGGUGAAAUUCGUAGAUAUGGGGAGGAACACCGGUGGCGAAGGUGGCCAUCUGGACGGUAACUGACGCUGAGACGCGAAAGCGUGGGGAGCAAACAGG